rnacentral:rRNA from 1 species
CCUACGGGCGGCUGCAGUGGGGAAUAUUGGACAAUGGGCGAAAGCCUGAUCCAGCCAUGCCGCGUGUGUGAAGAAGGCCUUCGGGUUGUAAAGCACUUUCAGUGGGGAAGAAAGCCUUGGGGCUAAUACCCUCGAGGAAGGACAUCACCCACAGAAGAAGCACCGGCUAACUCCGUGCCAGCAGCCGCGGUAAUACGGAGGGUGCGAGCGUUAAUCGGAAUUACUGGGCGUAAAGCGCGCGUAGGCGGUCUGAUAAGCCGGUUGUGAAAGCCCCGGGCUCAACCUGGGAACGGCAUCCGGAACUGUCAGGCUAGAGUGCAGGAGAGGAAGGUAGAAUUCCCGGUGUAGCGGUGAAAUGCGUAGAGAUCGGGAGGAAUACCAGUGGCGAAGGCGGCCUUCUGGACUGACACUGACGCUGAGGUGCGAAAGCGUGGGUAGCAAACAGGAUUAGAUCCCCCAGUAGUC